CCUACGGGAGGCAGCAGUGAGGAAUAUUGGUCAAUGGUCGAGAGCCUGAACCAGCCAAGCCGCGUGAAGGAUGAAGGUACUGUGUAUUGUAAACUUCUUUUAUCUGGGAAUAAAGUCAGGAACGCGUUCCCUUUUGUAUGUACCUUAUGAAUAAGCAUCGGCUAACUCCGUGCCAGCAGCCGCGGUAAUACGGAGGAUGCGAGCGUUAUCCGGAUUUAUUGGGUUUAAAGGGUGCGUAGGCGGUUAAUUAAGUCAGCGGUGAAAGUUUGGGGCUCAACCCUAACAGUGCCGUUGAAACUGGUAGACUUGAGUAGGAGAGAGGUAGGCGGAAUGCGUGGUGUAGCGGUGAAAUGCAUAGAUAUCACGCAGAACUCCGAUUGCGAAGGCAGCUUAC
rnacentral:rRNA from 1 species